rnacentral:rRNA from 1 species
AGUGAACGCUGGCGGCGUGCCUAAUACAUGCAAGUCGAACGGAGUGGCGCACGGGUGAGUAAUAUAUAGAUAAUCUGCCCCUUGCUGGAGGACGACAGGUAGAAAUGACUGCUAAUACUCCAUAGCAAGGGAUGCGGCUAUAUCGUAUCAGCUAGUCGGUGGGGUAACGGCCUACCGAGGGUAUGACGCGUAACUGGUCUAACAGGAUGUACAGUCAAAUUGGAACUGAGACACGGUCCAGACUCCUGCGGGAGGGGGCGGUAGGGAAUAUGACGAAAGGCGGGAGAGUGUGAAGCAGCAACGCCGCGUGAAGGAUGACACUUUGCGGAGCGUAAACUCGUUUUGUAAGGGAAGCGGUACCUAACGAAUAAGCACCGGCUAACUCCGUGCCAGCCGCCGCGGUAAUUC